UACGUAGGGUCCAAGCGUUAUCCGGAAUCACUGGCCGUAAAGCGUGCGUAGGUGGAUUGUUAAGUGCGAUGCGAAAUCCUGUGGCUCAACCAUAUGGACUGUAUCGCAUACUGGCUAUCUAGAGGACAUGAGAGGCAAGUGGAAUUACUGGUGUAGCAGUGAAAUGCGUAGAGAUCAGUAGGAACACCAAUGGCGAAGGCAGCUUGCUGGCAUGUAUCUGACGCUAAGGCACGAAAGCGUGGGGAGCGAACAGG
rnacentral:rRNA from 1 species